CCCUUCCUUUUCACAGCAUUUUUCUGUUCUUUGGUGUUGGAAACACAGAUAUGUUGUAUUAAACGUUUCUUUCCUGAUCCACAGAGAAGUUCUGGUAUUUUUCCAGGUUGUUGGCAUCUGGAUGCACUGGAUUUUGUUUUCUGGUUCUUUCUGGCAAGAACAGCACGCCCAGCGAGCAGACAGCUGUUUUGCAUUUUCUGCUCAAAAGCAAUUAGUACCACCUUUACGUAAUCAGUGCGCUGUGUGAUAUCCUCAUGUGCAUUUACCACCUCAUUAGGUUAACUCAGUAAAUGAAACGCAGAAAUUGCUUUAAAAAUAAACUGAUAAAAUGUAAGGUGGCGACCCAAAGCAUAAAACGCUGAGCAGAUCAGAUCUUCUCUCACUGCAAGCUCUGCAACGGGCAAGUCUGAUUCAAUUGUCAGAAAAAAUUAGGUGCUUGGAGCACCAGCAUUUGGUUUAAGAUUGUUUUGGAACAUGACUCUUACCUUGUAAGGUCUUGGAGCACAAUGGAAAUUAGAUGUGUGACCCCUCUUCAAGACUUUGCCCUAGAGUAAAACGGUAAUAAGUAAUGCCUUGUGGAGAAGGUUACUGGGGAAAAAAUGCCAUGCUUGUGAGCCAGAAGCACUCUGAAGUCAUCGUGUGAAUAUGUGCCUGAUGGUGGGCCCACACUCUACUGAGACCUGCCUGCAAUACGAAAAAAGAAAUGGAAAGAAGAAAGAAAUGCCAUUUCUGGGGCCUGGGCAGGGAGGCCGCUUGCCUCAAAUGGAGCCAUGGGACGGUGGAGGCCACAGGACACCAGAGCCAGAUGCUGCCUGCAGCUGGACGUGAGCAGCGCAGAUGUCUCCUCAUGGUGGCGAUGUCACUUGGGCCAGAGGGAUGGAAGUGUCACCUGCACGUAAGUUGGUGAAAUAUGUUACACAAGCAGCAGGAGGAGAGGUUUUUGGUUCCUUAAUCCAGGAUUCCAUAGAAGAACCCAGUACUUCUUUUGACUUGUUUAACAACGUGGUCUAACAUGGCAUGUGUUUUUAUGCAAGAAGAAGGACUAGUUUUGAAAGAAAAUCAGUACAAGAUGUCUCACCCCGCACACAACACACAUUCCUGCCUCUACAGGACACACACCUAGUAGGUGCAGGUGGGAAUGGCAGAGAACCACGGUGUCUUUCCUUCAACUCCAAGAACAAGUGAUAGCAGUGCCUUCUGAAAGGCAUUGGAUUGACCCUCUGGACAUCAAGCCUGAGCUCAUACUGCAAUACUGCCCAGCUUGCCUUCCUGAAGCACAACCUGUAGAGAUCAUUUGUUGGCAGAAGAUGAUGUGGCAAUCCUUACCACUGGAACACCCCCAGCAAGUUCACAGCUUCCCUUCUGCUGCUCUGCAACACCCUGAGGGUAGGAGAACACUGCAGGAACUGCAUGGGCCAGUCUGAGAAUUGGUGCUGGGGCAGCCAGCAGAAGCAGCAUCUCCCCGUGGCUAAUGGCAGUGAGGAAGCUCUCUGGCAUGUGGCAACGUGAGGAGGAACCCCACCUGAGCCCCAGGUGUCCCUGUGAAGCAGAUCCCCAGCUUUGAGGGACGCUCUGUGCAAUACUGUGGGUUUGGAAAUCUCAGGAGGGAUUUGCUAAGGUCAGUCUGACACAGAGGAUCUCCAAAUGCCAGACUGCAGGGAGAACCUUUUCCCCUUUCACGGUCAGCAGGAGGCAAGGAACAAGUUCACAAGUCUGGGAGUGCAGGAAAUGCUCACAUUAGCUGAUAGACACACAUCCUGGCACCACACUCAGGAUUACUGGGACACAACUUCUUCCACGGAGGAUAUCAAUGCAGUGGCCUGCUUGGAAACCAGACAUCUACAAGCUUUCUGUCCAGUAUCUUCUUUUCCAGUACUGGCGGUGCUGGUGUUUGCAGAGACACUGUGGGAAACCAACAUUCAAAUCUUUCUCUGUGCCUGGGAUGACAGCCCCCGUUGCACAGCUGCUCAUGAGAAGGGCUCAACCCUUCUGUGGCCCAGGGAAGCUGUGGAUGCCCCAGCCCUCGAGGUGCUCCAGGUCAGGUUGGACGAGGCCUUGGGCAAUCUGAUCUUGUGGGUGGCUUCCCUGUCCAUGGCAGGGUGUUGGAGCAGGAUGGUCCUUUAACUCGGGAAGGUCCCUUCCAACCCAAACCAUUCUAUGAUUCUAUGAAGGGAUACGGGGUUGACUGCGUGUAUGACUGCGGUUUCUGCCCAUGGGAUUCCCCACACAAGGCAUGCUGUGGCACUGAGUGUGCAGCGUGCCAUCCUCUGGGAGCAGGAGCCUGAGCCCCUGUGCUGCCCUGCACACACACAGCACCUUCUUCAGUGGUGAAUGUGUGCCCUUAGGGCACAACAGAUCGAGCAGCAACAUCAGCGCUAGCUCUCAUGAGAAAGCUGAAGUAAUAAAGUAGCAUGAGGAGAGUUGUGGAGCUCUGUGCCAGCUUAUUUAGCCUAUUAGCUGGACUAAUUAGCCAAGAUGAAAAGCAAUACUUAAGCAGCCACUCUGCUUCUGCUUCCUGAGCCAGUCCGUCCAGAGCCAGCUCUGAUAUUUCUACCCAGUAAAGCAUCAUGCUGUGUAAAUAUAUCCUUAAUGCUGCAAAGCAAAUGGCCUUGUGAGAACCGUACUGCUUGCAUAUGCCAUUGUUAAUUCAUAACUUUAAAUGUGCCGGAGACCUUUCAUAUAGGAUCUAUAAGAGAAAAAGGCACAGCUUUCCCCAUAGUACUUACUGGUAGAGUUUGUACUUCCUACCUUAGAUAAUCUGGGUGACAUGUUUUUUUAAAAUGGUUUAUUAUGUGAAAAUUCCUUAAUGCUCCUGUGAGAUAUCUUAGAUUUUGCAACACCAGCAUAAAAGUGUUCUAUGCAUUAUUUCCGGUAUAGCUGUCCGUGUUGACAAACAUUCCCAUGAGGAGAUAAACAGGGCAGGGUACAAAGCAGACUAAAAGGUAGGCUAAAAGAAAGAUACUUCCAAGUGGGUUAUCUUCACAUGGAUAUAAAACACAGAGGGAAGAAAAUGAAGAGCUGUUCAUCAAAGCUACGAUCAGCUAUGUAUGGGUUGAACAAGGAUAUCUAGUCAUGAAUAAUUCUUCCUUUGGCUUCUAGCUGUCCUUUAAAAACGUAAAAUACAGUUUAGGAACAGCACUGGGGUGAAAAUGCAUAGAACAGUCCAGGGAAAAUAACUUCUUACACCCAACUGUGCUGAAUUCUCUGUGAAAAACCAUAGUGAGUGUUGGUGAACCCAAAGGCUAAAGGAGUAGAGGUGGAGAUAUCCAUCUGCCUUCCGGGCAGAAAUAAUGCUUUUGAAGGAAAUAUGGGAUGUGUCCUUUUGGCUGUUUAUUAGCCAAAGGUGCCGUGUCCUCACCAGAAGUGAGGAUACCGUACGACUCUGACUAGCAGACAAGUGUCAGAGUCAGAUAUGGUGGUAUGAAGGACGUGCUGGUGUCAAGGCUCAUCCUGGCUCAGAGAAAUCUCUAGGAAUUCAUAGCAAAUUGCCCAAGAGGUGAUAAUGAAAUGAGAUUUAGCCAAGUGUACUCUCAGAGAAAUUGCUCGGGGCUUCAGGUGCUGCACAGGGCAUAACAAAUAUCAGAUGGCAGAUAAGAAAACAAGUUGUAGGGGAGUUGCUCUGAGUUUCCAAUCAGAGCUGUAAUUCUGUGCAAAUGUUCAUGUAAAUAUCAAGGCUCAUUCAGAAAGGUGGGUUAGCAAUAAGUUGUGUUUGUGUACGGGAUAAUUGGUGCUAUGAGGAGUGAAGCAUGUCUUGUAUUUGCCUGAGGCAUGCUUACCAGAACAGCAACCAGGCUUAACCUAAUAUCAACAGGACAUCUUGCUUUCCUAGACAGUCUGUUCCACGCUGUGUGUAUGUCAGUACUCCACACAGCUAAGAUAAAUCUCUUGGGUUCAUCUUUAUUUAGGACUCCAUCUUUGGGUCAUCUGCAAAUUUUACCCAUGGCUAUUUUCUCUUUGUUUCCUUAUCAGUCAUGGAAAUACUCAGGAGUGUUAGUCCAGAAUAAAACCCUGCUAGGAACACACCACUUGGUGAUGAACCCACAGAGGACAUCUUGAAACCUUUCAGCUGGUUCUGAAGCCAUGCACUGGCUCACUUGUAUUUAUUUUAUAGUGCCACAUUUGUACCAUGAUGUCAUGGUGCACUUAUUCAACCAUCUCACAAAAUUUUUUUCUUAAUGUAUCAAUUGCUUUUGUCUCCUAAACUUUACAUUUCGA